UGUUAGUACAGCUAGACUGAUCUGGCUCAGUAGUCGUAACAAGGUAACCGCGAGAGUUUCGUAUAUUGAUUUUGGUCGCCAACGAGUGGCGGACGGGUGAGUAACACGUAGGUAACCUGCCCAGAAGCGGGGGACAACAUUUGGAAACAGAUGCUAAUACCGCAUAACAACGUUGUUCGCAUGAACAACGCUUAAAAGAUGGCUUCUCGCUAUCACUUCUGGAUGGACCUGCGGUGCAUUAGCUUGUUGGUGGGGUAACGGCCUACCAAGGCGAUGAUGCAUAGCCGAGUUGAGAGACUGAUCGGCCACAAUGGGACUGAGACACGGCCCAUACUCCUACGGGAGGCAGCAGUAGGGAAUCUUCCACAAUGGGCGCAAGCCUGAUGGAGCAACACCGCGUGAGUGAAGAAGGGUUUCGGCUCGUAAAGCUCUGUUGUUAAAGAAGAACACGUAUGAGAGUAACUGUUCAUACGUUGACGGUAUUUAACCAGAAAGUCACGGCUAACUACGUGCCAGCAGCCGCGGUAAUACGUAGGUGGCAAGCGUUAUCCGGAUUUAUUGGGCGUAAAGAGAGUGCAGGCGGUUUUCUAAGUCUGAUGUGAAAGCCUUCGGCUUAACCGGAGAAGUGCAUCGGGAAACUGGAUAACUUGAGUGCAGAAGAGGGUAGUGGAACUCCAUGUGUAGCGGGUGGGAAUGCGUAGAUAUAUGGAAGAACACCAGUGGGCGAAGGCGGCUACCUGGUCUGCAACUGACGCUGAGACUCGAAAGCAUGGGGUAGCGAACAGGAUUUAUAUUCCCUGGGUAGUCCAUGCCCGUAAACGAAUGAGUGCUAGGUGUUGGAAGGGUUUCCCGCCCUUCAGUGGCCGGAGCUAACGGCAUUAAAGCACUCCCGCCCUGGGG
rnacentral:rRNA from 1 species